rnacentral:rRNA from 1 species
GACGAACGCUGGCGGCGUGCUUAACACAUGCAAGUCGAACGGAAAGGCCCUGCUUUUGUGUGGUUCUCGAUUGGCGAACGGGUGAGUAACACGCGAGUAACCUGCCCUUAUCUUUGGGAUAACUUCAGGAAACUGGGGCUAUUACCGGAUAGAAUCUCCUGCUGCAUGUUGUUGGUUGGAAAGUUUCGGCGGUUGGGGCUGGACUCGCGGCUUAUCCGCUGGUUUGUGGGGUAGUGGCUUACCAAGGCUUUGACGGAUAGCCGGCCUGAGAGGGUGACCGGCCACAUGGGGACUGCGAUACGGCCCAGACUGCAACGGGAGGCAGCAGUGGGGAAUAUUGCACAAUGGGCGGACGCCUGAUGCAGCAACGUCGCGUGCGUGAUGACGUCUUUUGGGUUGUAAACCGCUUUCGCCUGUGACGAAGCGUGAGUGACGGUAAUGGGUAAAGAAGCACCGGCUAACUACGUG